AGGACUCAUCACACGGCGCCUGAGGGAGCAGACCACGGAGAGUCAGGCUGACAUCCUGAGCGCGCUUCAGCCCUUGGAGAAAGACUGGGACACCUCUGUCAGCUCCCUGGUAGCUCGGACAACCUCCAUUCUGAGGAGUCCUUGCAUGCAGCAAAGACCAGGAGGCCUCCUGCGAGCACUGCGCUGCUGCUGGCCGUGAGCCCGGCAGAGGUGCAGCUUGCCUUGGCUAAAGGACUGGGGCUCAAUAAAGCUGCAACAACGUGCCCAAA